GGAAAGAGAAUCGAAACACACAAAUGGUGUACGUGGAAAACCCUAGGCUAGAGGGAAAACCAUGAUCUAGACUUGUUUUUUAUUAUUCAAGUGAUACAGAAAUACAAGAAAACUUGCUCAAAUAAAUAGACAGAUAGAAAGCCCUAGGCCCACAAAGAAAUUACAAAUAAGCCCCUAGGAAAAAACAACCAUUUUUCAACAUGUUCUUUGUUAUUUUCCUCACUUACAUCUUCUACAAUAUCCAACAAUGAAAUCAUAUAGAAGCUAAGUCCCUGUUUUCUUUUGCUUUCCUUAUUACUUGAACACCCUCAUCUGUACUCCACCUCCAUCCAUUUUGCACAUGCUUUUCCUCAUUCAUUUGGGCCAAAUGGAACUCGUGACAAACUUUUUAGGCGAGGAAGCAUUUUUUGAUGGGAUAACCUAUAGUAAAUUAGCACACAUCUAAUUCAAAAGUUUGAUUUAUAGUUAAGCUAAAAGGAAAAGUAGAUUUUAUGGCUUUCUUUUUAUUAUUUUGUAUUUUUUAGAUUUGAAGCAGCCAUGAUAAAGAGAUUGAUUCAACUUGAAAGAGGGUUUGGGGAAACAAUUGUGAAUCGGUACUGAUACAUUUCAAAUAAUGAACACAAUGGAUCUUGCUACAUUUGUUGAACCAUGGAAAUUGAGCCAAUCACUCAACAGUAAGAGAUUGAGUAGAUCAUUGGGAUUGUGGAGAAUAAAUGUUGUAUUGCAUUGAAAAAAUGAAGAUUGAAAGAUACAUAUAUAUCCUGGAAAUUAGAAAGAUAGUUACUUUUCUUUUUCUUUUUUUUUUUUAAGAAACAAAUUAUUGACUCUAAUGUAAUCUGAAGAAC